CCUACGGGUGGCUGCAGUGAGGAAUAUUGGUCAAUGGCCGAGAGGCUGAACCAGCCAAGUCGCGUGAGGGAUGACGGCCCUACGGGUUGUAAACCUCUUUUGUCGGGGAGUAAAGAGAGUCACGUGUGACUCAUUGAGAGUACCCGAUGAAAAAGCAUCGGCUAACUCCGUGCCAGCAGCCGCGGUAAUACGUAGGGUGCAAGCGUUAUCCGGAUUUACUGGGUGUAAAGGGGGCGUAGGCGGCGGUGUAAGUCCGGAGUGAAAGCCCAUGGCUUAACCAUGGAACUGCAGUGGAAACUGGGGAGCUUGAGUGCAGCAGGGGCAGGCGGAAUUCGUGGUGUAGCGGUGAAAUGCGUAGAUAUUAGGAGGAACACCGGCGGCGAAGGCGGCCUGCUGGACCGUAACUGACGUUGAGGCUCGAAAGCGUGGGGAGCAAACAGGAUUAGAUACCCUUGUAGUC
rnacentral:rRNA from 1 species